UGGAAACGUAACGAAAGGAUGUCAGUAAAUCUCAGAAUUAAAACCAAGACAGGAGUAGUUGUUCAGCCUGUCCAUCUUGGAGAUGUAAAGUAUCAGCUCAAUGGUGCUGCUCAAGUCCAUGAUGGAGAAGACAGAGACACUGAUUUGGCAGUUCAGCUGGACGAACGUGGUGCAUGACCUCUUUGCCGGCAACACUCCUGCGCAACACCCAGAUGAUAGACAGGUUGCAGAAGACCAUGAUGAAGAAGGCAGAAACGAUGAGACCGCUGAACACCUCGGUCACACUCAGUACUCCCAGAAUGCUCUUAGUGAGCGCAUAGACCAAGAGCAGCGCCCAUACGAAUGCUGAGAUGCCCG
ensembl:lncRNA